rnacentral:ncRNA from 1 species
GAAAGUCGUGUGCAAUGAAAAAUGCAAGCACAAUUUGGGGAGAGAUUUUUCUCUAUUGUAACAAGGAAGAAUUAUCUACUCUAU